rnacentral:tRNA from 3 species
GCCGGAGUGGCGGAAUUGGCAGACGCAUCAGACUCAAAAUCUGACGGGGUUUAUCCUUGUGAGGGUUCGAUUCCCUCCUCCGGCA